rnacentral:tRNA from 3 species
GGAAAUGUGUUGAUCAAAUGAAAGCUGCUAACUUAUCAUUCUAGCGGUUAAAUCCCGUUUACAUUUCUA